GCCGCGCGCCGACAGGGCCCGGGCGGACGGCGGGGUUGUCCGCGGCGGGCGCCUGAGGCGGGAGCGGCGAGGCCGGGCUUCAGGCAGCCCCUCAGCCGCCCGCGGGGCGGGGUCCUGGCGAAGCUGGCAGCGUUGCCCCGCCUCUCCCGGAAUCCUCUCCGCUAAUUGGUUGCUCCCUCCCGGCGCCCGGCGUUCUAACUUCUCAUUGGCCAGCGCGGACCAGCGCCCGCCCCCUCAUCGUCUUCCCUCAGCCCGGGGGGCCGCGGCCGCCGCCUGAGGGGAGCCGGACUCCCACAAUGCACCGCGGUGUGGUCUGGGGCAGAUGAGGGGGGGCUGGGGCUAAUUUGGGUGGUUAAGUGCAGAUUUGGAGGCUCCUGGGGCAGCUUUAGCUGGCUAGGUGCAGAUUUGGCGGGCCCUAGGGCAGAUCUGGGAGGUCCUGAGACAGAUUUGGGGGGCCCUGGGGCACAUUCAGGUGGUUAGGCGCAGAUUUGGGGGGCCCUGAGGCAGAUUUGGGGGGCCCUGGGGCACAUUCAGGUGGUUAGGCACAGAUCUGGGGGGCCCUGAGGCAGAUUUGGAGUGCCCUGGGGCAGAUUUAGGUGGUUAGGUGCAGAUUUGGGGGGCCCUGGGACAGAUUUAGGGGGCCAGCGCAGAUUUGGGCAGCCCUGGAGCAGAUCUGGGUAGUUAGGUGCAGUUCUGGGGCGGCCCUAGGGCAGGACUGGGGGCCCCUGGGGCAGAUUAGGUGGUUAGGUGCAGAUCUGGGGGGGCCCUGGGACAGGACUGGGAUCCUGGGGCAGAUUUGGGAGGCCCCAGGGCAAAUUUGGGUGGUUAGGUGCGGAUUUGGGAGUCCCUGAGGAUGAUCUGGGGGGCCUAAGGCAGAUUUAUGUGCUUAGGGGCAGAUUUGGGAGAUCUUGGCACAGCUUGAGGGGCCGGAGAGCAGACUGGGGGGGUUCUGUGAGCAAUGUCAGGGUGCGAGGCUGCUCCCCAGCCAGGGCCCUGGCUCAACCCCGCGGCUUGGCCUCACCCUCCUGGGGAAACGGAGGUGCAGGGCCACAGCCGUCCUACCGCCGCCGCUGCCCGGCCCCAGGCCAACCUCUCAGCCCUGAUUCCUCGCGGUUUUGGGACGGCCGCAGGAGGAAGCAGGCGUGGGCCAAGCAGGCGGGCGCAUCCGGCACGCGGUCCCCGCCGCCGGCUGUGCCCCGCCUCUCCCCACGCAACAGCCCCCGGGCUGGCCUGCGCGGUCACGUCCCUCAGGUCACGUCCCUCAGGAUCGGCGACUCCAGGAACGGCCCCUCGUUUUGCGUCCGCAUCGUCAGCCCUGACGAGCGGAGAGCUCCUGCGCCUCGGGGUCUCUUCGACGGGGCCGUCCCUGAUCCAGACCCCGGAGGAGGAAGAGGAGGAGGAUGAGGCUGGAGUUUCUCCUCUUUGUGGCAGGAGCCAUGGCAGCGCCGAGGCUCUCCCCGCCGCCGCUCGGGCUCCUCUUCCAAGAGGACGGGGGUUCCCCGAAAAUCAGCUGCUUCGCCCCGCAGAGCUACGCCGGCAGCACCUUCGAGCUCUUUGCGACGGGCGCCGAUGUCCCCGCGCAGAGUGUCUCCGCCAACCCGGGUCAGCACAAGGUUGA
ensembl:lncRNA